GACAAACGCUGGCGGCGUGCUUAACACAUGCAAGUCGAACGGCAGCGCGGGGCAACCUGGCGGCGAGUGGCGAACGGGUGAGUAAUAUAUCGGAAUGUACCCUAGAGUGGGGGAUAACGUAGCGAAAGUUACGCUAAUACCGCAUACGAUCUACGGAUGAAAGUGGGGAUCGCAAGACCUCAUGCUCAUGGAGCAGCCGAUACCUGAUUAGCUAGUUGGUAGGUAAAGCCUACCAAGGCUUCGAUCAGUAGCUGGUUUGAGAGAACGACCAGCCACACUGGGAACUGAGACACGGUCCAGACUCCUACGGGAGGCAGCAGUGGGAAUUUUUGGACAAUGGGGGCAACCCUGAUCUAGCAAUGCCGCGUGAGUGAAGAAGGCCUUCGGGUUGUAAAGCUC
rnacentral:rRNA from 1 species